UUUAAUGCAUUUCAUUUUCUUGUUAUUCACAACAACGUCCUAAAUAAAAUGUAAUGUAUGAAACAAUUUCUAAAUGCUUUCUUUAGUUAUCCUGUAGUACGCUGUUGUUCUCUGUCUAUGUGUUUCCUACACGAUAUAAUAAUAUAACCCAGCCAAGACACUAGCAACUGAAGGUUAGACACUCACGUUAAUUGUUAGAGCACAAAUUCAGUAAAGCUACUUCACAACAGCAUGUCUAGCAGGGCUGUGCUAAAAGUUAUUUUAUCCUAUCUGAUGUUGCGAUUAGUUUGUGACGCAAAGUGCUUGACCAUAAAGUGGGUCACGUUGAUUAGAUGUGUUGAAUACAACUCCGAUCUCACCCAUCAUUAGUAACCGUUGGCAGUCAACUGCACAGGAAACACUGAGUCUUUUUAGCCUGUGGCAAAGGUGAUUAUCUGAAAAUGGAAUCAGAGUUGAGUAAAGAGCAAAUAACAGAACUGAAAGAAGCAUUUUCGCUGUUCGACAAAGAUGGCGACGGUUUCAUCACGACGAGUGAGCUGGGCACAGUCAUGAGGUCACAGGGACAAGCGCCCACGGAGGAGGAGCUGCAGGAUAUGAUCAACGAGGUGGACGCUG